UGCCGCGUGCAGGAUGAAGGCCUUCGGGUUGUAAACUGCUUUUGUACGGAACGAAACGGCUCUUUCUAAUAAAGAGGGCUAAUGACGGUACCGUAAGAAUAAGCACCGGCUAACUACGUGCCAGCAGCCGCGGUAAUACGUAGGGUGCAAGCGUUAAUCGGAAUUACUGGGCGUAAAGCGUGCGCAGGCGGUGAUGUAAGACAGUUGUGAAAUCCCCGGGCUCAACCUGGGAACUGCAUCUGUGACUGCAUCGCUGGAGUGCGGCAGAGGGGGAUGGAAUUCCGCGUGUAGCAGUGAAAUGCGUAGAUAUGCGGAGGAACACCGAUGGCGAAGGCAAUCCCCUGGGCCUGCACUGACGCUCAUGCACGAAAGCGUGGGGAGCAAACAGGAUUAGAUACCCUGGUAGUCCACGCCCUAAACGAUGUCAACUGGUUGUUGGGUCUUCACUGACUCAGUAACGAAGCUAACGCGUGAAGUUGACCGCCUGGGGAGUACGGCCGCAAGGUUGAAACUCACAGGAAUUGACGGGGACCCGCACAAGCGGUGGAUGAUGUGGUUUAAUUCGAUGCAACGCGAAGAACCUUACCCACCUUUGACAUGUACGGAAUUUGCCAGAGAUG
rnacentral:rRNA from 1 species